rnacentral:rRNA from 1 species
CCUACGGGUGGCAGCAGUGGGGAAUAUUGCACAAUGGGGGAAACCCUGAUGCAGCGACGCCGCGUGAGUGAAGAAGUAUUUCGGUAUGUAAAGCUCUAUCAGCAGGGAAGAAAAAUACGGUACCUGAUUAAGAAGCUCCGGCUAACUACGUGCCAGCAGCCGCGGUAAUACGUAGGGGGCAAGCGUUAUCCGGAUUUACCGGGUGUAAAGGGAGCGUAGACGGCAGCGCAAGUCUGAAGUGAAAUGCCGGGGCUUAACCCCGGAACUGCAUUGGAAACUGUGCAGCUAGAGUGCAGGAGAGGUAAGUGGAAUUCGUGGUGUAGCGGUGAAAUGCGUAGAUAUUAGGAAGAACACCGGUGGCGAAGGCAGCUUACUGGACUGUAACUGACGUUGAGGCUCGAAAGCGUGGGGAGCAAACAGGAUUAGAUACCCUAGUAGUC